AGUUGUAUCCUGGCUCAGGAUGAACGCUGGCGAGAUGCUUUACACAUGCAAGUCGUACGAGAGUCUUUGACUCAAGUGGCGGACGGGUGAGUAACACGUAAGAAUUUGCCUUUAGGAGGGGGACAACAGCUGGAAACGGCUGCUAAUACCCCAUAUGCUUUCGAGUGAAACGGAUUUUUCCGCCUAGAGAGAAGCUUGCGGCUGAUUAGCUUGUUGGUAAGGUAAUGGCUUACCAAGGCGACGAUCAGUAUCUGGUUUGAGAGGAUGAUCAGACACACUGGAACUGAGACACGGUCCAGACUCCUGCGGGAGGCAGCAGUGGGGAAUUUUCCGCAAUGGGCGAAAGCCUGACGGAGCAAUCUCGCGUGAGGGAUGACUGCCUAUGGGUUGUAAACCUCUUUUUUCAGGGAGGAAUAAAUGACGUGUACCUGAAGAAUAAGCAUCGGCUAACUCCGUGCCAGCAGCCGCGGUAAUACGGAGGAUGCAAGUGUUAUCCGGAAUCACUGGGCGUAAAGCGUCUGUAGGUUGUUUAAUAAGUCAACUGUUAAAUCUUGAAGCUCAACUUCAAAAUCGCAGUCGAAACUGUUAGACUAGAGUAUAGUAGGGGUAAAGGGAAUUUCCAGUGGAGCGGUGAAAUGCGUAGAUAUUGGAAAGAACACCGAUGGCGAAGGCACUUUACUGGGCUAUUACUGA
rnacentral:rRNA from 1 species